CCAGCCAUCCCUCAUCUUGGAAAACAGCAACUAUAAUGUAAAACCUAAAGCCGAACCUUCUUUCAUUCUUGACACAGUUGUUUCUCAUCAUAAUUUUACAUCAUGAUAAAUCUUAAUUGCCUGCUCCAAGCGUCAUCACUGCUUUGCCUGGGAAUACAAGAAGGUUCCGAGGAUUGCGAUGGCAGCUCCAAGAGCAUUGACUGGCUGGGCAGGCGUGUGGAAAAUGAUAAUGGAAGAGACUAUGACAGAGAUACGUUUCAUGGUAUUACCAAUGCUAAAGGUCAAGGGAGAGAUCUCAUCCAAGGACAUAUAUGACACCUGGUUGUACAGAUGAUAGAACACGCUUUGGGCCACCAGCCACCAAACAAAAUGUGGUCCAAUCUGAGAGACAGCUGUUUGCCAUCCUGCUGCCCACAUCUG
rnacentral:misc_RNA from 1 species